rnacentral:lncRNA from 1 species
CACAGUCACAAAUUAUCAACUUAAUUGAUCACAUAAGUUAUUUUUGGUCACAUUUCUUAAGUAACAUAUUUAUUUAUUGAUCACAAAUUAAUCAAAUAAUUGGCCACAAAUACUAUUAUUCCAACCCCUACACCAUCCCACCCGGCCCACCACCACCUGCACCGCCACAUCAUCACGACUUGCACCAUCACCACGUGCACCACCAACCAUCCCAGCACUCUGACAAAGCAGAUCGAAAGAAAAACACAAAAAAAUUACCCCAUAAAUCAUUUCAAAACCAUUGCAAAACCAUUCACAUCGACAAUCAACGCAAACCACAAACUUUCACCACCACCACCACCAACUACCCCAACAAUCCGACAAAGCAGAUCGAAAGAAAACAGCCAGAGAACCACCUCCCUUAAAAAUCAUCUCAAGACCAUUCUAAGUUUGUAACAACCCUUCAAGCCGACAAUCAACAAAAACGCAAGGUGAUGUUAUACACAAUGAAGUCGUCGUUGUGCGCUAUGGGCACAGAUCGCCUCGCCGUUGCCCUGUAUAUAGAUGCACGGCCUCUGCGCGCGAUGUUGAAGCGAAGCAGUCGUAGCGUACCUUUACGUUGGUAAUCAACACAAACGGGUAAUGGUGUUACGACAUUGAAGCCACCGUUGUGCACUGUGGGCACAGAUCUACUCAUCGUUGCCCACAUAUAGAUCGAUGAUGGCUGAACGACCUUUGCCCGUGAUGCUAUUUGUAGCAAAGUAGCCACAGCACAACAUUUCCAAUGAUGUCAUCGAAUAAGAGAGAGAGAGAGUGAGAGAGAGAGAUGAAUUUAGGUUUUGGGAAGAAAUUGGGGAUGGG